AUGCCUUGAAACCCUUCUUCUCUCAAAACACUCUCAAGCUCUCCGAAACCCUAGCCAUCUCCUAUCCCAUUCUACCACGAGUUCACCGGAAUUCAUGGCUUCUCAAGUCAUGGAUGGUCUAUACUCACCUCGUUUUAUCGUUAGACCAAGUUUGUUGAAAGUGUUAAGGUCUUGCUUCAAUGGCUCUCCCUCAAAUCCUUUCAGGUCUACAGUUGUAUGGCUCCUCCGGCCAGUUCCGGCGUACCCAAAGCGUUAGAAGCCUUUUCUGACCUCUUCGACUCGAGAUCGGACCUUCUUCCAAAGCCUUUCUCGCUUCUAGGGUUUCUCCAAAAACCUUAAGCUAUUUGAGGUUUUUCUCUAUUUAUUUUCUUAGAUCUAUGAUAUGUUUGUGUUCUACUAGGUUUCUAAGGUCUUUUCCCCAAAUUCUCCUUUCAAAAUUGGUUGUCUUUGACUUAGGAUUUCUGGAGAGUUUUCGAAAACAUCUUUCUGAUUCUUCUUCUUCUUUUCUUUAUGCUUGUUUGUUUAUAUCAUGACCGUGUGAAUCCUUUUACUACGCAUGUAGUGUUCUGCUACUUUUUAUUUUUACUAUACAUGUUCUCACAUGUUAAUCCAUAUUGUGUUUUCCUUACUCUUCUACUAUGCGUGUUUUACCGUUGAGUUCUUUGAUUUUUGUUUGCUUUACUAGACAUUGUUCGUGUUUUUUGCUAAACAUGGUCAUAUGCUUUCGCCUAAUUUUGUGUCACCUCUUUCUUCUGAACUUUUUGCCUUUCUUAAAAAUAUUCUUCAUGCUUUAAAUCAGAUUCUCUUUCUUUGUUGUUUCAAAAUUGCUAUCAUAUCUGUUUUGCUUCUCAUAAGGCUCUGAAGCAGACCUUUGAGUCUGUUUCAAAGACAUGCCUUCUCAUCUCUAUGCCUGAUUCGGUUCGAAACCCUAGAAUUUGGGGAUUUCUUUGGGAACUUUGAUUUGGUGCUCGAGUUAGGGUUCCACUUUGGAACCCUGAACUCUCACACCCUCUAUGACUCUGCAAACUGAACUUGUAUAUCUUUUAUGAUUCUGAACUUCUCUCUCUUUUACAUAACUCGACAGUCUCUUCUCGAUUCACAUGUUUGUAUACUUUAUAAAUGAGAACUCUUUUUUUAAAGAUGUUUUGCCUACUACUGAUUGAGUCUGAAUUCCUUCGAUGGUGUUUACUUGAAUGUUCCGGAUUUUCCUUAAAGUGAACUUUUCUUUACCCAUUUCUCGACCUGAUUCAUUCAAGUAAGCAUGUGAUUUUGGUUUUAACGAUUGAUUCCCUUUCCUUUUGUAUUAACAAAUCGUGUGCUACUAGUCUGUUGCCUUAAAUAACUUCUAUGUACUUACCCUUUUAUUAUACUGCUAGUGUCAAAUUUUGCUCAAAUCCCUUUCCUUAAUUGUUCUACCCGUUUUAUUUUGAAUCCCUUAAUUAAAGGGAUUGCCUAUGAUUGAUUGAUUGUAAUUGAUAGUUCCAUAAUUACUAUAAUUCUUCCCUUACUCUUUACCUAUUUUUAAACUAUAAAUACCCGACCCUUUCUUUCACAAACACACUUUCAAUUCAAAAACUGAACGCAAUAGUCUUCUGACUACACACACCACUGAAUACUUUCAAAACCCGCAUUCCCUCUUGCUCUUUUUCUCUACUGUUGUUCUCUGCUCCUGCUCAUUAUAAGCCGGCUAAAAGCCAAGACCUAAUCUACUGUUACUAUUUUGUCUUUGCAUCAUGCUCUUGCUCUUUUACUGGUAUGUCUUGACUCCGUUCCCAACAAUCAUCCUAAUGUGUUUACUUAUAGCCUUUAUAUCUAUGCCUAUUACAUGUUGAGUUUGACUUGUUCAUAUGCUACUAUUUGCUUUACUUUUUUUGCAAAUGCUUGAUCCCUUCUCCCUUACCCUUUAUGUGUUGGUAAAUGGGGAUUCAGGGCAUGGCAACAUGAAUUGUUGUCCAUGAACUAAAUUUCAACCCCAAGUAAAGAAGGUGUCAGUAUGUUUCAUUGCUGAUCAUGUCCUUUGCCCACUUUUCUUUGUCUGCUGUUUCUGUUAUAAAUUCCCUAUCCUUACACUGUAUGUAUGCUGAGUUAAAGUUUAUGGUCUGGUAGCCUUUAAAUGUCUAUAUAGGUCUGAACCCGGCUUUCAAUAAGUCAUAACUCCUCAACUUGAAAACGACAAGUUGGUCAGGGAUGUGUCAAAUUGCUUGGCAUGACCACCAGCUUACCAUUUCACGUCCCCUGCACUUGUACUUACUCUUAGACUUUAAGUUCUGCCCCUAUCAUAUGAGCCUUGCCUUAGGACCUAGAGUUCCCUCUGAACUUGGACAUUUGAUGGCUGACUUUUUCCACACUACACUUUAACUAAUUUUGAAAUGGUAUUUGGGGUGUAAGCACUGCCUGGGGCUCUUGAAGCUCCUUGGAACUUUGACACAUCUCAAAUAAGAGAAGGCUUUGGAAACCUGGAUCCUUGGAAGUUGGUUUAUUACAUAUGUCAG
rnacentral:lncRNA from 1 species